rnacentral:misc_RNA from 1 species
GAUGAAGAACGCAGCGAAAUGCGAUAAGUAAUGUGAAUUGCAGAACUCAGUGAAUCAUCGAAUCUUUGAACGCACAUUGCGCCCGCUGGUAUUCCGGCGGGCAUGCCUGUUCGAGCGUCAUUUCAACCCUCAAGCUCUCCGGAGUUUGGUGUUGGGGCGCCUGGGGCUUUUCGACCUCAGGGCCCUCAAGUCCAUCGGCGGGACCGCCAGGACACUGAGCGCAGUAGUAUUAUUUCGCUCGGUAGGAUCUUCCACGGCGGGUCGAUCUGGCCGCUAAACCCCCCAAUUCUCACCAAAGGUUGACCUCGGAUCAGGUAGGAAUACCCGCUGAACUUAAGCAUAUCAAUAAGCGGAGGA